rnacentral:rRNA from 1 species
GUGGGGAAUAUUGCACAAUGGGCGCAAGCCUGAUGCAGCAACGCCGCGUGAGGGAUGACGGCCUUCGGGUUGUAAACCUCUUUUAGUAGGGAAGAAGCGUAAGUGACGGUACCUGCAGAAAAAGCACCGGCUAACUACGUGCCAGCAGCCGCGGUAAUACGUAGGGUGCAAGCGUUGUCCGGAAUUAUUGGGCGUAAAGAGCUCGUAGGCGGCUUGUCGCGUCUGCCGUGAAAACCCAGGGCUCAACUCUGGGCGUGCGGUGGGUACGGGCAGGCUAGAGUGCGGUAGGGGAGAUUGGAAUUCCUGGUGUAGCGGUGGAAUGCGCAGAUAUCAGGAGGAACACCGAUGGCGAAGGCAGAUCUCUGGGCCGUAACUGACGCUGAGGAGCGAAAGCAUGGGGAGCGAACAGGAUUAGAAACCCGUGUAGUCC